AUUGAACGCUGGCGGCAUGCCUUACACAUGCAAGUCGAACGGUAACGGGCCUUCGGGUGCCGACGAGUGGCGAACGGGUGAGUAAUGUAUCGGAACGUACCUUUCAGUGGGGGAUAACGUAGCGAAAGUUACGCUAAUACCGCAUAUUCUGUGAGCAGGAAAGCAGGGGAUCGCAAGACCUUGCGCUGAUUGAGCGGCCGAUAUCAGAUUAGCUAGUUGGUGAGGUAAAGGCUCACCAAGGCGACGAUCUGUAGCGGGUCUGAGAGGAUGAUCCGCCACACUGGAACUGAGACACGGUCCAGACUCCUACGGGAGGCAGCAGUGGGGAAUUUUGGACAAUGGGGGCAACCCUGAUCCAGCCAUGCCGCGUGAGUGAAGAAGGCCUUCGGGUUGUAAAGCUCUUUCGGCCAGGAAGAAAUCGUAUCAGCUAAUACCAGGUGCGGAUGACGGUACCGGCAUAAGAAGCACCGGCUAACUACGUGCCAGCCGCCGCAGUAACAC
rnacentral:rRNA from 1 species